GGGAGGAGAUAUUAAAAUAUCUGUGUUUGCCUUAGGUCAGCAGAAAGCUGAAGGUGGUGAUCAGUGGGUUUUAUUUCAUCUCUGCAUAGUACAAGGAAAGAAAACUGCUAAACAUGGACUUUCCAAAAAUUAUGUUUGUAAGAUUAAAUGACAUAGUUUAAAAAUUUUGUGAUAGUAGUUAGAGAAUGUUUGGGGGCAGCUUCCACUUGAGAGUUAGAUUUUACUCUAAAUUUAAUUUAAAUCUAAACUGGUUAGAUUUUUGGCUUCAUUCUUCUAAAUCUAGAUGUGAUUUAGAAGACCUACUGUAGUGGAAUAGAUCAAUGAUGUGAGCAAACGCUCCAUGACCUUCAAGCUUGAAGGCUUGGCUCAAGUUCUUCAGCGUCUGCUGUUAUAUACAGGGCACACUCUAAGGUCCAGAAGUUCACUGUUGCAAUAAGCACGCAUCGUCACCCAGAUCUGUCUAUAGUAGUGGUACGUUGGCUUUUGAAGGAUUUUGGCAAAAUUGGGAGAACUCUAUGUACCAGUAGUAAAUAUAAUUUUAAAUGAUUUAUGAUAAAGAGAAAACUGUAUCCUCCAUUGCCUUCUGAUUAUUAGAGUUUAGGUAAGUAGUUUUAUGUUAUGAGAUAUUUCGCUGUAUUAUCAGAAUAAUUUAUAUAUAUUUUCCAUUAAAUAUGUUUUCUUGGAUGUUGUUUCUUAUAUAUGUAUAAAAACACCUCAUUUAUGUAUAUUUUUAUAUAAGCCAAAUAUCAAAUAAGUAUUUGGCUAAGUAUUAUUUUUAUUAGUAUGGAAGCUUGGAUAAAGAGUAAAAAGAAAGUUAAGAAUGGAAAAGGCUGUCAGGAGUUGCGUAGUGAGUAGUAUUUGCUGUCUUUAAGUUAUUUGAGAAUUUAGGUUAAGAGUGCCAGUCUAUUUAAGAAUUGAAGUAGAUCAGAUGUUCUUCAUAUGAAUUGAUAACUGCAUUUUGGGGAAAUGUCCUAUUUUAUUUUAAUUACUUAACAAUAUGUGAAAAUCAGUUAAGACUAAGAAUAUUUCCAAAUUGUGAAUUGACCUCAGUUCAGUGUUCUAAACAUUAUUUUUUGGGACUCUGGUGGAAAUUUACAGGGAUUGUUGUUGGGGUUAAAUUUGGUAAUUUAGAUUUGCCUUAAAUGGUGUAAUUUUAAGUUUAAUUUUUAAUAAUUGAAAAAAUAUUGUCUUUUAUUUAAAUCUUUAAAAGACUAUUUGCAACAGGAACGCAGUAUUAAUAACAAAAGUUGUUACAUAUUUGUGUUCGUUAUUUAUAUUAAUGAAAGUGUCAGCUAGAUGCUACUUAUCUUUAUGCUGAUGAUAGAUUACUCUUACAGUAGAGUCAGCCAAGAUUCUUACCGGCUGUAUUCAGCUUCAUUUCUAUCAAUUUCAUUUUAUUCCUAGUUUUAGUCCAUUUUAUUUUUAUAUUGGUACAGUUAAUGUUUUGUUCAUAGCAGUAUCAAAACAAUAAGAAAACUGACAAUUCAAAGUCAGAUAUGUUGUUUUUCUUUGACAGCCUUUCUUGCUUUUGGUGCUGAUGGCUUGAGGGAGGAAAUAAGUGGAAAGAGAAAGAGAGGAUUAAGCCAAUGAUCACUAGAGCAAGGGAAUAAAAGUGACUUAAGACUGUAGAUCACAUUUAAAUUUAAUAAGAUGUAUUAUUUUUCAUUUAUAGUAAAUAGUAUUUGAAAGACUAUGUUUUUUUGUCUGCUUAGUUUUAAGUUGUUGAAAUGAUUAUGGUUUGUAUGUUUGUGUAUACAGUAAUAGUCUGGAUGUCAGCAUAACUCUAGAAUAAAUUACAGUGGAGUUGUAGAAGUAAAAAUAACUUCCACAUUGUAAACUAAUUUGCUAGUAAUGACUGAAUUAGUAUAUCAUUCGUUAAAUCGGCCACCUCCUACUUUGAAAUGGGAAAUUGGAAUUUUAGGGAAUUAUUUACCAAUUUACUUAAUAAAUGUAAGAUAAUAUUACUUAAUACAAAAUAAAUAUGCAAGGCUGUCUGUACAUGGAUAACUAUUUUGAUGCUUUUUGAAUUUUGGACUUUGUAACAUACAGAAAUUAUCACUAAAUAACUGAUUUUAUAGCUUAUUCAGAUUUUGUAUAUACAUAGAAAAUAGUCUGUUUAAUAAAUUUGUACCUAUAGCAUAUCAGCAGGUACUAUGCUUUAAGCUUUUCUUUUUAUUAGAAUAGUUUUAAAGCUGUUCACUUUUUUUUUGACACGAGGGUUAAUUAAGUGAGGUGUUGAUGGAUAUGUAUCUUUUCUGGGAUACUUUUGUUCUUCACAUAUGCUGUUCCUCAUUGUUAGCUUUUCCUGAGUAGAAUUUAUUAAUCAGUCCGAAUUAUCAAAAUGUUCAUUUAAUACAGAUGAUUACAUUUAUUUUAUUUAAGUUCUCAACUAGAAUAAUCAGUAAUAUU
rnacentral:lncRNA from 1 species